rnacentral:piRNA from 1 species
UAAUGAACUAUUUUGGAGACCUAUGUGA